AUUGAACGCUGGCGGCAGGCCUAACACAUGCAAGUCGAACGCGUGGCGGACGGGUGAGUAAUGUCUGGGAAACUGCCUGAUGGAGGGGGAUAACUCCUGGAAACGGUAGCUAAUACCGCAUACCCUCGGAUGUGCCCAGAUGGGAUUAGCUAGUAGGUGGGGUAAAGGCUCACAUAGGCGACGAUCCCUAGCUGGUCUGAGAGUAUGACCAGCCACACUGGAACGGAGACACGGUCCAGACUCGUACGGGAGGCAGCAGUGGGGAAUAUUGGACAAUGGGCGAAAGCCUGAUCCAGCCAGGCCGCGUGUGUGAAGAAGGUCUUCGGAUUGUAAAGCACUUUAAGUUGGGAGGCGUUACCAACAGAAUAAGCACCGGCUAACUUCGUGCCAGCAGCCGCGGUAAUUC
rnacentral:rRNA from 1 species